rnacentral:lncRNA from 1 species
GCUUCUUUGUCCAUCAAUGUUCAGUUCCUUUUCUCUACUCGAUCCUCGUGUCAUGCCUUCACUGAUUUCAUGCCACCUACCAACGCCGAGCUAUACCAUUUCCUACAUUUUCACACUAGAGGAGUUCUUAGUACAUGCAAAGCAAAAUAAUACAAAAUGCAACUAAAAACAUACUAAAAUGUACUUGAGAUGGGCAUAGUUCGCGUGAAUUGAUAUCCAAUAAGUAGGUAUAAAACCUACUUAUCAAAUACCCCAAACUUGAUCUAUUGCUUGCCUUCAAGCAAUGCAUACGACAUAAAACAUUAAAGAUGCAACUACAUGCUAUGCAACUAGAUUACGAUGCAAAUGAGUCUCACAUUUUUCCACCUAUAACAGAAUUUCAGUCCAAAAUGCCUCAGCCAAUUAUCCAUAUUCGAGAAUACAAAUUCAAACCAAACUAUAGGCAUAAUAUCAUGCACUCAAGUAAUCCAUACAUGCUAUAAAAAUGUUGUGUGUGUGUUGUGUUCACCAAAACUUGACUAAAGCACAAAAUACACAUGCUAAACUGCUCAAAAUAAAAAAUUGCAGUUUAAAUCAAGAUUUAUGUAUACUAAUGCAACAAAGACUACUCUGACAUAUCAAAACCAACUAAGGUUCAACAAUGGGUUUAGACUGCUUUCUUUUUACUCACGAGGGCGAUUUUCACACUUUCCUGCGGUGUUUAUUGCUAUUUUGUUUUUAUAUAGCGAGUGCGUUUUACGCUCCAUCUCGCCCGUUCCAAAGAGUCAAUAAUUCAGCUCAAGAAGGUUUCAAGAUAGCUUUUUCUUUUUCUUCUUUUUUUUAUAUAGCACCCCCAUGUGUCCCCAAAGUUUGAUUAUCAAUGUUUUUUACAGUCUAAAUCCAUUUCCCACAAAAUUCUCUUUUUUAAAACCACAUUUCCUAUCAAGCAAUGCAACACAUAAUUCUUAUGCCUAUAAGCAAUUGUGAACACGACACUUCAAACCGAAAGCAUCUAAACAACAUCAUGGAUUACAUCAUGUAAAACAUUAUAUCUAAGCUCAUGUUAUCCA